rnacentral:rRNA from 1 species
CAAUAGCGUAUAUUAAAGUUGUUGCGGUUAAAAAGCUCGUAGUUGGAUCUCGGCAGGCAGGGGGUGGUUCGCUCUUAGCGCUACUGCCCCAUUUGCCUGUGUGAUUGGCGGAGGUUUCGGGGUGCUCUUCGUUGAGUGACCCGGGGCGCCGUCAGGUUUACUUUGAAAAAAUUAGAGUGCUCAAAGCAGGCUUUUCACGCUUGAAUAUUCGUGCAUGGAAUAAUGGAAUAGGAACUCGUUUCUAUUUUGUUGGUUUUCGGAAAUCGAGUUAAUGAUUAAUAGGGACAAUUGGGGGCAUUAGUAUUCAGACGACAGAGGUGAAAUUCUUGGACCGCCUGAAGACUAACUACUGCGAAAGCAUUUGCCAAGAGUGUUUUCAUUAA